AUGGGAGCAGGAAAGAAUACGGCAGAGUUCUUCAGGAGGAGAGACGAGUGGAGGAAGCACCCGAUGCUUGGGAAUCAGUUUCGUCACGCUACUCCUGGCCUCGGCAUCGCUCUCGUUGCUUUCGGUGUCUACCUCGUCGCCGAGCAGGUCUACAACAAGACCAAUGCUUCUUCCUCUUCUCACCAUGUGAAGGCUGGGGAACACUGA